rnacentral:rRNA from 1 species
GACGAACGCUGGCGGCGUGCUUAACACAUGCAAGUCGAACGGUAAGGCCCUUCGGAGUACACGAGUGGCGAACGGGUGAGUAACACGUGGGUGAUCUGCCCUGCACUUCGGGAUAAGCCUGGGAAACUGGGUCUAAUAUCGGAUAGGACCACUGCCUGCAUGGGUGGUGGUGGAAAGCUUUUGCGGUGUGGGAUGGGCCCGCGGCCUAUCAGCUUGUUGGUGGGGUGAUGGCCUACCAAGGCGACGACGGGUAGCCGGCCUGAGAGGGUGACCGGCCACACUGGGACUGAGAUACGGCCCAGACUCCUACGGGAGGCAGCAGUGGGGAAUAUUGCACAAUGGGCGCAAGCCUGAUGCAGCGACGCCGCGUGAGGGAUGACGGCCUUCGGGUUGUAAACCUCUUUCAGCACCGACGAAGCGCAAGUGACGGUAGGUGCAGAAGAAGGACCGGCCAACUACGUGCCAGCAGCCGCGGUAA